rnacentral:rRNA from 1 species
AUUGAACGCUGGCGGCAGGCCUAAUACAUGCAAGUCGAACGAGUGGCGGACGUGUGUGUCACGUCUGGGAACUUGCUCGAUGGCGGGGGAUAAUUACGGGAAACGGAAGCUAAACCCGCAUACCUUUGGAUGUGCCCAGAUGGGAUUAGCUAGUAGGUGGGGUAACGGCUCACCAAGGCAACGAUCCCUAGCUGAUCUGAGAGGGUGACCAGCCACACUGGAACUGAGACACGGUCCAGACUCCUACGGGAGGCAGCAGUGGGGAAUCUUGCACAAUGGGCGCAAGCCUGAUGGAGCCAUGCCGCGUGUAUGAAGAAGGCCUUCGGAUUGUAAAGUUCUUUCAGCAGGGAGGCGGUACUCACAGAGGAAGCAACGGCUAACUCCGUGCCAGCAGCCGCGGUAAUAC